rnacentral:rRNA from 1 species
CAGCAGCCGCGGUAAUACGUAGGUGGCAAGCGUUAUCCGGAAUUAUUGGGCGUAAAGCGCGCGUAGGCGGUUUUUUAAGUCUGAUGUGAAAGCCCACGGCUCAACCGUGGAGGGUCAUUGGAAACUGGAAAACUUGAGUGCAGAAGAGGAAAGUGGAAUUCCAUGUGUAGCGGUGAAAUGCGCAGAGAUAUGGAGGAACACCAGUGGCGAAAGCGACUUUCUGGUCUGAUAACUGACGCUGAUGUGCGAAAGCGUGGGGAUCAAACAGGAUUAGAUACCCUGGUAGUCCACGCCGUAAACGAUGAGUGCUAAGUGUUAGGGGGUUUCCGCCCCUUAGUGCUGCAGCUAACGCAUUAAGCACUCCGCCUGGGGAGUACGACCGCAAGGUUGAAACUACAAAGGAAUUGACGGGGACCCGCACAAGCGGUGGAGCAUGUGGUUUAAUUCGAAGCAACGCGAAGAACCUUACCAAAUCUUGACAUCCUCUGACCCCUCUAGAGAUAGAGUUUUCCCCUUCGGGGGACAGAGUAACAGGUGGUGCAUGGUUGUCGUCAGCUCGUGUCGUGAGAUGUUGGGUUAAGUCCCGCAACGAGCGCAACCCUUAAGCUUAGUUGCCAUCAUUAAGUUGGGCACUCUAAGUUGACUGCCGGUGACAAACCGGAGGAAGGUGGGGAUGACGUCAAAUCAUCAUGCCCCUUAUGAUUUGGGCUACACACGUGCUACAAUGGACAAUACAAAGGGCAGCGAAACCGCGAGGUCAAGCAAAUCCCAUAAAGUUGUUCUCAGUUCGGAUUGUAGUCUGCAACUCGACUACAUGAAGCUGGAAUCGCUAGUAAUCGUAGAUCAGCAUGCUACGGUGAAUACGUUCCCGGGUCUUGUACACACCGCCCGUCACACCACGAGAGUUUGUAACACCCGAAGCCGGUGGAGUAACCAUUUGGAGCUAGCCGUCGAAGGUGGGACAAAUGAUUGGGGUGAAGUCGUAACAAGGUAGCCGU